UACGAAGGGGGCUAGCGUUGCUCGGAAUACUGGGCGUAAAGCGCACGUAGGCGGAUUGUUAAGUCGGGGGUGAAAUCCUGGAGCUCAACUCCAGAACUGCCUUCGAUACUGGCGAUCUCGAGUUCGGGAGAGGUGAGUGGAACUGCGAGUGUAGAGGUGAAAUUCGUAGAUAUUCGCAAGAACACCAGUGGCGAAGGCGGCUCACUGGCCCGAUACUGACGCUGAGGUGCGAAAGCGUGGGGAGCAAACAGG
rnacentral:rRNA from 1 species